rnacentral:rRNA from 1 species
UAGUGCGAUUAUACAAGCACUAAUGCACCACAUCCCAUCAAAACUCCGCAGUAGCGUGCUUGGGCGAGAAUAGGACUAGGAUGGGUGCCCUCUUGGGAUGUCCUCGUGUUGCACCCC